rnacentral:rRNA from 1 species
UGCAGUCGAGGGGUAACAUGAGAGCUUGCUCUUGAUGACGACCGGCGCACGGGUGAGUAACGCGUACAUAACCUACCUUCAAGAAGGGCAUAGCCCCGGGAAACUGGGAGUAAUACCCUAUAGUAUUACUUUUUUACAGAAGAGAGUAAUUAAAGCUACGGCGCUUGGAGAUGGGUGUGCGUCCCAUUAGCUAGUUGGUACGGUAACGGCGUACCAAGGCGACGAUGGGUAGGGGGCGUGAGAGCGUGAUCCCCCACACGGGUACUGAGACACGGACCCGACUCCUACGGGAGGCAGCAGUAAGGAAUAUUGGACAAUGGGCGAAAGCCUGAUCCAGCCAUCCCGCGUGCAGGAUGACUGCCCUAUGGGUUGUAAACUGCUUUUAGAUAGGAAGAAACCCCCUGACGAGUUGGGGGCUGACGGUACUAUCAGAAUAAGCACCGGCUAACUCCGUGCCAGCAGCCGCGGUAAUACGGAGGGUGCAAGCGUUAUCCGGAAUCACUGGGUUUAAAGGGUGCGUAGGCGGAUAGAUAAGUCAGAGGUGAAAGCCCGCAGCUUAACUGUGGAAUUGCCUUUGAUACUGUUUAUCUUGAAUGAGGUUGAGGUUAGCGGAAUGAGUCAUGUAGCGGUGAAAUGCAUAGAUAUGACUUAGAACACCAAUUGCGUAGGCAGCUAGCUAGGCCUUUAUUGACGCUGAGGCUCGAAAGCGUGGGGAGCGAACAGGAUUAGAUACCCUGGGUAGUCCACGCCCUAAACGAUGCUAACUCGAUGUUUGGGGUCAUAGACUUGAGCAUCCAAGG